rnacentral:rRNA from 1 species
CGCCCGGUGGAUGGCUCGGCUCGGGACGCCGAGGAAGGCCGUGGCAAGCUGCGAAAAGCCCCGGGUAGGCGCACGCGGCCGUUGAACCGGGGAUCGCCGAAUGGGACCUCCUGCCAGGGAGUGCAAGCUCCCUGGCAUCCCGGAGGUUUCUUGCCUCCGGGAGGGGAACCCCCCGAAGUGAAGCAUCUCAGUAGGGGGAGGAAGAGAAACCAAAAAGGGAUGCCGUGAGUAGGGGCGACCGAAAGCGGCACAGCCCAAACUGAACUCCUCGGGGUCAACCCGAGGAGAAUGUGGGGUGGCAGGGCGGACCCAGUUCCCUGCACGGGAAGCCGAAGUGGGCUGGAAUGCCCCGCCGUAGAGGGUGAUAGCCCCGUAGGCGUAACCGUGCAGGGAGUAGGGUCCGUCCCUGAGUACCGUCGGCUGGUUUGCCGGCGGGAAUCUGGCGGACACCUGCCGCCAAGGCUAAACACGUCCCGAGACCGAUAGCGCACUAGUACCGUGAGGGAAAGCUGAAAAGUGCCCCGAAGAGGGGGGUGAAAAGAGCCUGAAACCGGGCGGGGAUAGUCUGGUGCGGCCCGAAAGGAGUGAUUCUCCCCGAAGGAAACCGGGGAAACCCGGGAGUACGAGGGGAGAGGACCGGGGUCGCACCGCGCGUUUAGAAAAACGAGGCGGGGAGUUCACGGGCGUGCCGAGUCUAAGGGGGUCAGCCCCGCAGGCGCAGGGAAACCGAAGGGCCCGCAGCCGGUUCCUCCGGCGAGGGGCCGGGUCCCAAAGGGCCCGAGGCACGCCCGUGAGACCCGAAACCCGGCGAUCUAGCCCGCGGCAGGGUGAAGCCGCCCGUUUGGGCGGUGGAGGCCCGCAAGGGUGCGGGAUGCAGACCGCUCCCCUGACCGCGGGCUAGGGGUGAAAGGCCAAUCGAGCCGGGUGAUAGCUGGUUCCCGCCGAAAUCACCCACAGGUGAGCCCCGCCGGAGGCAGCCGCGGCUGUAGAGCUACGGAUUGGGAGGCCAAGGGGCGCUAAUGCCCCAGCCUCCCAGUCCAACUCCGAAGGCCGUGGCGCCGUAGAUGGCGGGAGUGAGGGUCCUGCGGGUAAGCCGCAGGCCCGAGAGGGGAACAACCCAGACCGGGGUUAAGGCCCCAAAGUGCCGGCUAAGUGCUAAACCCGAAGGGUCUCCGCUCCCGAAGACAGCGGGGAGGUAGGCUUAGAAGCAGCCAUCCUCUAAGGAGUGCGUAACAGCUCACCCGCCUAGGGAGCGGGGCCCGCAAAUUGACGGGGCUAAGCCGGCCGCCGAGACCCCGGGGGACGGGCCGUUUGGCCCGUCAUCCGGUAGGCGGGCGUCCCGAUGGCGCAGAAGGCGGGCCGCGAGGUCCGCUGGAGCCGUCGGGAACGAGAAUCCCGCCGUAAGUAGCAGCAAAGCGGGGUGAAAACCCCCGCCGCCGAAAGGGCCAGGGUUCCUCCGCGCUGUUUGUCAACGGAGGGUUAGUCGGUCCUAACCCGGCCCGUAACUCGGUGCCGGGGAAAGGGAAAGGGGUUAAUAUUCCCCUACCGCCCGGGUAGGCGCGGCAACGCAAGCCCGCUCCCUGACGCCUCGGGCUAGGCCGACCGGGGUCGUCGCCCCGGCCAAUCCGGAUAGGGCCGCGGAGUGCCGUAAUGGCGAGAAGCGGCUCAAACCGGAGAUGGGGCGGCCUUGUGCCGCUUCGGCCGAGGCCUGGGGCCCGUGAAAAGGGGAGCGGGAACGAUCCCGGGCGACCGUACCGAGAACCGACACAGGUGUCCCUGGGUGAGCAGCCUAAGGCGUGCGGGGGCUAACGGGGCCGAGGGAACUCGGCAAAUUGGCCCCGUAACUUCGGGAGAAGGGGUGCCCGUGGUCCUGAACCGGUGGUCGCGGGCUCCAGCCCGCGGCUGCCGGGGAGGGACCGCGGGUCGCAGUGACAAGGGGGGACCGACUGUUUAAUAAAAACGCAGGUCCCCGCUAGGCCGCAAGGCUUUGUACGGGGGCCGACGCCUGCCCAGUGCCGGUGCGUGAAGCCGGGGUACAACCCGGUUAAGCCCCGGUAAACGGCGGGGGUACUCUGACCUCCUUAAGGUAGCGAAAUUCCUUGCCGGUUAAUUGCCGGCCCGCAUGAACGGCGUAACGAGUCCCCCACUGUCCCCGGCCCCGACCCCGUGAAAGCGUCAUCCCCGCGCAGGGACGGGGGACCCCCGGUAGGCAGAAAAGACCCCGUGGAGCUUCACCGCAGCCUGGCGUUGGGCUGGUGGGGCGGGCGCGCAGCGUAGGCGGGAGGCAGUGAAGCCCGCCCUUCGGGGCGGGUGGAGCCGCCCAUGAGACACCGCCCGUCCGCUUCACCAGCCCUAACCCGCCGCGUGCGGGGACAGCGCCAGGUGGGCGGUUUAGCUGGGGCGGCAUGCCCCCGAAAAGGUAUCGGGGGCGCCCAAAGGUCGGCUCAGGCGGGUCAGAAACCCGCCGUAGAGUGCAAGGGCAAAAGCCGGCCUGACUGCGCCCCGAACAGAAAGGGGCGCAGGGGGGAAACCCGGGCCUAGCGAACGGUGGACCCCCACAGGUGGGGGUCCACCAUGGCAGAGAAGUUACCCCGGGGAUAACAGAGUGGUCUCGGGCGAGAGUCCCCAUCGACCCCGAGGCUUGCCGCAUCGUUGUCGGCUCUUCCCAUCCUGGGCGGGCAGUACCGCCCAAGGGUGGGGGUGCCCACCCGUUAAAGGGGAACGUGAGCUGGGUUUAGAUCGUCGCGAGACAGGUCGGUCUCUAGCCGCCGGGGGUGCUGGCCGCCUGAGGGGAAGGGAGCCUUAGUACGAGAGGAACGGGCUCCCGCGGCCUCUGGUCGACCGGCCGUCCGACAGGGCGCGCCGGGCAGCUACGCCGUGCGGGGAUAAGGGCUGAAAGCAUCUAAGCCCGAAGCCCUCCCCGAAAAGAGGCGGCCGUUCCCCGUCCAGGG